UUAAGGUGGUACCUAACACUACAGGGAGAUAACUCAGUAAAGUCAGCUAAACGUUUUAAUUACGUUGUGUUGUAGAAGGAAUAUGAAGCUUCUCAAUGAUUAAAAUUGGGGUUCGUCAAACUGCUAUAUAACCAGUGUAAUUUUUCUGACCAAACGGUUGGUUCAAAAUUUUUGAAAUUUUUAUAUUUUUGUUAAAGGGUCAAAG
rnacentral:lncRNA from 1 species